rnacentral:rRNA from 1 species
GUGAACGCUGGCGGUAGGCCUAACACAUGCCAGUCGAACGGCAGCACAGUAAGAGCUUGCUCUUACGGGUGGCGAGUGGCGGACGGGUGAGGAAUACAUCGGAAUCUACUUUUUCGUGGGGGAUAACGUAGGGAAACUUACGCUAAUACCGCACACGACCUACGGGUGAAAGCAGGGGAUCUUCGGACCUUGCGCGAUUGAAUGAGCCGAUGUCGGAUUAGCUAGUUGGCGGGGUAAAGGCCCACCAAGGCGACGAUCCGUAGCUGGUCUGAGAGGAUGAUCAGCCACACUGGAACUGAGACACGGUCCAGACUCCUACGGGAGGCAGCAGUGGGGAAUAUUGGACAAUGGGCGCAAGCCUGAUCCAGCCAUACCGCGUGGGUGAAGAAGGCCUUCGGGUUGUAAAGCCCUUUUGUUGGGAAAGAAAAGCAGCAGGUUAAUACCCCGCUGUUCUGACGGUACCCAAAGAAUAAGCACCGGCUAACUUCGUG